GAGCUUGUCUGGAGUACUGAGAACUGCUAAUUCCUCAGAACCAUGGUUCAAAUCCAUGGCUUGCUCA
rnacentral:tRNA from 1 species